rnacentral:lncRNA from 1 species
UCAAACAAGAAGAACUUAGAUACACAUGGCUUGCUCGAAGGCAAGCAAUUACCAAGCAAGUGAAAAUACUACCACUAUUACAUCAUACAUGAUUACCUUUAACCAAAUACCAGUUUUCCACAUAUUACACUCUUUUUCCAAAUGCAUUACAUAACCUUCAUCAAAAGUAUAUACCCCCUAAUCAUUUACAUCAUUUACACAUGUCCAUUUACUUCACACUUUUCAUCGUAUACAAAAGAUGGAAGUGAGUAG